rnacentral:rRNA from 1 species
UGAGGAAUAUUGGUCAAUGGACGGAAGUCUGAACCAGCCAAGUAGCGUGCAGGAUGACGGCCCUAUGGGUUGUAAACUGCUUUUGUAUGGGGAUAAAGUUAGGGACGUGUCCCUAUUUGCAGGUACCAUAUGAAUAAGGACCGGCUAAUUCCGUGCCAGCAGCCGCGGUAAUACGGAAGGUUCAGGCGUUAUCCGGAUUUAUUGGGUUUAAAGGGAGCGUAGGCUGGAGAUUAAGUGUGUUGUGAAAUGUAGACGCUCAACGUCUGACUUGCAGCGCAUACUGGUUUCCUUGAGUACGCACAACGUUGGCGGAAUUCGUCGUGUAGCGGUGAAAUGCUUAGAUAUGACGAAGAACUCCGAUUGCGAAGGCAGCUGACGGGAGCGCAACUGACGCUGAAGCUCGAAGGUGCGGGUAUCAAACAGGAUUAGAUACCCUGGUAGUCCGCACAGUAAACGAUGGAUGCCCGCUGUUGGUACCUGGUAUCAGCGGCUAAGCGAAAGCAUUAAGCAUCCCACCUGGGGAGUACGCCGGCAACGGUG